CAUUUUUCAUUUGGUAGUUAGAUGUCACAUUCUUGUUAAAUAUUUAUACCUUCAUUAUUGCAGGUCAAAGCUAAAACCAUCACUGAGAUACAUUCCGAGGCUGAGAAGAAUUUGGGAUUGCGUCCGGGUGCUACCUCAAGUAUUAGAAAUAAUCGCGGUGUUAUUUCUGCAACUCCUGGGACUGCUGGCCCAGGCUUUCCCAUUAACCGACCUGGCACAGGAGGUAUGAUGCCUGGCAUGCCAGGAACUAGGAGGAUGCCUGGCAUGCCUGGAAUUGAUAAUGAUAAUUGGGAGGUACCCAAGACACGCUCAAUGCCGAGGGGUGAUGGAUCAACUAUGCAGCCCACAGGACGUGUCCCAUCACCACUGUACGAUAAGUCAACAUCUCUCAACACAAGGCUGUUACCUCAGGGUAGUGGUGGCUUUAUAGGUGGAAAGAGUAGUGCCCUCUUGCAAGGAAGUACUGGUCCUCCUCCUCGCCCUUACGGUGUUGGUUUGGGUAAUGAGCUUCCUGCUCAAGUCCCUGUACCUAGUAAAACUUCAUCUGCUUCCUAUGUGCCUCCCACUGUUGAGAGACCAGUUGCAAGCUUAAAUCCGGAGGAACUUAGGAGGAAAACGGUAUCACUUUUGAAGGAAUAUUUCAAUGCACAGCUUCUGGAUGAGGCUUUGCAGUGUGUGGAGGAACUGAAGUCUCCAACCUACCAUCCUGAAGUUGUCAAGGAGGCCAUCUCCCUUGCCUUGGAGGAAAACCCACCUUGUGUAGAAUUAGUCGCCAACCUUUUGGAAUAUUUGUUGGCCAAGAAGGUUCUCACAGCUAGAGACAUAGGGACUGGGUGUUUGCUCUAUGGUUCUUUGUUGGAUGAUAUUGGCAUUGAUCUGCCAAAAGCACCUAAUAAUUUCGGUGAAGUUGUUGGGAAACUAGUUUUGGCUGGGGGAUUGGACUUUAAAGUGGUGACUGAGGUUCUUAAGAAGAUGGAAGAUGAUAGAUAUCAGAAAGCUGUAUUUGAUGCAGCAAUGAGGACCGUUAGUUAUAGUCCAAGUGCGCAAGUUUUAUUAGAUUCACAGGCAUCUGAUGUUGAGAAUUGCAUGAGCUUGUUUUAGCAAGCUUGGCAUUCUAUUGCGUGAGUACUUGAGCAUCUGUAUCCACUUGAACUUUUGUGCUAUCUUUCACAUCAUAACGCCUUGUCCAGAACCUUUUUGAGGCGAGCAACUUGUACUUUGUGAUAAGGUGGAGCUGCCAAGAACAGGUCCUUGUUUUUUUUUUUUUUUAGUAAUAUUUUUCCUCAAGGUCAUAGUUGUGUGUUAUUGAGCAAAGAAAUCAAAACCAUAAUGCCAUGGAUUUUGUCCUCGAGCCUGGCUAAUUAUGUGCCUAAUUGCUUGGAAGAAUGGCCCUUUUAAGGGAUCCAGUUGUUUUGUAUUAAUUAGUUUUGAUGAUCUUCAUUUUCUCGACUCUGGCAAUUGUGUUUAUUGUUUAAACUUCCCAGCUCAUAAAUCCUAAUUUUUUCAAUAUUUACAUUAGUAAAAAAGAGUAUGGCG
rnacentral:misc_RNA from 1 species